GAGAAGCAUAAUAGAGGUGUAACGAUAAAUAUAUAUAAAUUACACACACACACACACACACACACACACGUAUAUAUAUAUAUUAUAUAGGGUGAAUUCAGGUUGAUUGGGACACUUUUUCCAAUUCAUCUCAAUGGUAUAUAUAGUUUAUUUAUUUAAGUAGAAAUAUAAUUGUAUUUUUUUAUUAAAAUAAAAUUGAUUUAAAUAAAUAUAUAAUAAUAACAACAAUAAGUAUAUAGAUAAUAAAUAUUAAAUAACUUGAUUUAAAUUAUAAAUACAUAAACAAAAACAUAUGAUUAAAAAAAUCUUAAAAAUCUUAUUUCAGAGAAAAGCAGUGUAAAAAAUAAAAUUAAAAAAAUAAAUAAAAAGAUUGAACUAAUACAUUUUGCUUUAAAUAAAUAAUAAAUAAUUAAAUAAAACUAUUUGAUUAAAAUAAAUUAAUAUAUCUAACAGUGGAGUGCUAAAGGGUCCGUGGAAAAGUUCAGAGAAGCAGUGUAAAAAAACUGGAUUAAAAUAAAUUGAUUUAAAUAAUAUAAAUCAAUUUAAUUUAAAUAAUAAAUAAAAUAAUUUAAAAAAUUCAAAUAAGAAAACAAAUUUAAUUAAAAUAAAUGAAUAAAUAUAUAAUUCAUCUAAUAAGGGAGUGCUGGGGUCUGUGGAAAACUUUAGAGUGUAAAAAUUGUAAAAAUAAAUAUAAGAUUGAACUUUCAAUAACAAAAAAAAUUAAUACAUUUGAUUAAAAUAUCUAAACAUUUGAUUUAACAAACAAACAUAUGGUUGAAAUAAAUAAAAACAAUUAAAAUAAAUAAAUUUGAUUAAAACAAAUACUACAUCUAACAAAGUACUACAGUGAGGAGAAAAAAAAAACAAUGCAAUGCAAUAAAAACUAAAUAUUUCACAAAUAAGAUUUUACACAUUUGUAAUAUAAAUUGCAAACUCGAGGUCUAAACAACUACAUUCUCCCCUAAAAACUCAAAACUUCAUUCUGUGACAAUAACAGCAGUAUUUGACAAACAAAUCCUCCAUCAUUGACACAAACGCUGCCAGUGUAGAUCCGGCAGAAACAAGCGGAGUGACACAAAUUGUGAAACCGUUUCUGAUUGCAUGGCUGGAAAAGGCUCUCAGCCAAUCAGAUUCGAGAACCAGAACUAACUGUUCUAUAAAUGAUAAUAUAUAAGCUAUUAUCGUAUCGCUGGUCAGAGAAUUAAUGUCGGAUCGUAUCGUGAAGAAACGUCCGAUUUACAGCUGAUGCAGAAUCCGUUUCCAGAAACUUUAUCAAAUCAUGAAAAUCUGAUCAUAAGUCAGCCGCAAAGAAAUGCAACGGCUGUUUGACAAAUACUAGAGAGGUGAAGUCAACUCAACGAACAGCGAGGGCGCGGCGAACGAUCACAGCGCUGCUGAAUCAGCUCGGCUGGCGUCGAACGCAGACCCCUGCUGGCUGGCUCUGAACACGUUUCUCUCGCCAAACAGCCCUUUCCCUUUCUCCCUCGACCUCUUCACGAACGCUCGAGUUACGCAACGGCCAGAGCAAGUAGCACACAUGUUCUGCAUACAAGUGUGUUGUGUAAGUGUGUGUGUGAAGAGGAACUGAAUCCGCUUUCUCCUUAAACAUCUUUAUGGUGAGAGAACUCACAAACGCUAUAAACAAAUCAAGCCGAGGUUAUGAGCGCCUCGUGAGGAUCUACACCACAUCAACGGCCCUCCAUUCAUCUUAUCAGAGCGGUGGUGAUGGACCUGCUACCAAAUGAGUUACAUAACUGAAUUAGCAUAUGAAGAAAGUUAGAUGUGCUGGAAGGAACUCUUUCGGGGGAAGUUUGGUCCGUUCCACUUGUCUGUUGUUGUGAAUGAAUUUCACAAAAAACUGACAACAACAUGAACAGAAACAACUAUUAGCUCACAGAAAUCAAGGCUGUCUUUUGGACCAAGUUUUCAUCACAACAUAUGGAAAACAAAGAACAAGUGUGUGUCCAAACUCUUGACCGCGAGUGAAACGGCCCUAAACCUCAUCCCUCAGUGUCCGACAUCUCAACCCGCCAUGACGCAUUUCCAUUGUGUUCCUGAAGCUGAUGGUUAUCUUGAUAAAACCCAUCAUUCAUUUCAACCCGUCUCAGACAGAGUCGAGCUUUCAUCGGAGCCGAAUCCGACAGCGUUCAUCACCAGAGAAUCCAAAGCACACAAACGCACUCAUGUGGAAGCGUGGAACAUGUUCUGACAGCUGAUUCCUGAAAUCAAAACAAUGCAUUCGCUGCUCUCCAUGUUGCGUAACUAACAGAGGCGAUGGAAAAAGGGUUUGGACAUGAUGCUGAAUCAUUCAACUCCCUCUGUUCUGUCAGGAGACGAAGCAACGUUUAUUUGAUUUUGUCCCUCGUAUGAUUUCCAGACACAAUUAACUCUCAUCUGUAAUCUCAGUAAAAACAGCAGAGAUAUGGAGCUAAAAUGCUCUCAAAAUCAAUGCAUUUACAAAAUGAAAUGCAAAUGUAAAUCAAAUGAAAAUGUAAAAUGUUGCUUUGGCAACUAGAUGUUUUUAUGGUUUUAGUUUUAGAUAAGUACAAUAAUCCUGCAAAUAUUAGGGCAAGGUAUUGACACAAACUUCAUGAUUCGAUUUGAUUUCCAUUCACAAGCUUGUGAUUCGAUUGUUCCAAUUUCAAUUCAAUAUCGAUUCAGUACAUGGCAGAUAAUACAGUAUAUAUGUAAUAUAGUGCAUAUAUUUAUCAAAAUACUCCUCUCUAGAGUUAUUUUUCUAGCUGAAUAGUCUCAGCCUCAGACAUCACAGACUGUUGGCUGAACAUCUGCCGUAUACGGCACACAAAAUGGGAAACACUUAAAAGAGUUUCGAAGUCGUCAUCUGUCGCCCGAUUGGUUGAAUUCGACAGGAUUUCCGGGAGACAUGCGUGUUGCGUUCUUUAACUGUUUGCCUGGAAACAAAGCUGUCAAGCCAAACCCCCUCAUGGAAAAAGAAAGCCAAUGAACGCUUACAAGGAUCAACGAAAUGCUGGAUUUUCAAAAGUACAUGAAGAUUGCUGAGUUAUUGUUGCAGUUAACAUUCUUGAAUGAAUAGUAUAUCAGAAUGAAAAGAAAAAUAUAUAUUUUUCUAGGAACAUUUACUUUAUAUUUUCAUCCCCCCAAACAUGACGCAGAACAAAAAGUUCUAGAGAAACCAUCACUCAUUUUCUAAAAAAAACAAAAAAAAAACAAAAAACUUUUUAACCACAAAUGCUCGUCUUGCACUGCUCUGCGAUUCGCCACGCGUUACGUAAUCACGUUGGAAAGGUCACAUGUGACGUAGGCGGAAGUACCGCGGUAGGGUGAAAAACUCAAUCUCAUUUUCUCCUCCAACUUCAAAAUCGUUCGACAUCACUGUUUUACCUUUUUUUGUUAAGGGCAUUUGACUUAGUCUUUGCAGGUUUACUUUGUAAACACUGGAUCGGUACUUCCUCCAACAUCACGCGUGACCUUUCCAACGUGAUUACGUAAUGCGUGGCGCAUCGCAGAGCAGUACAAGACAAGCAUUUAUGGUUAAAAUGUAUAUACAUUUUUAUUUUAUUUUAGAAAAUGGCCGAUGGUUUCUCUAGAUAAGACCCUUAUUCCUCGUCUGGGAUCAUGUAGAGCUCUUUGAAGCUGCACUGAAACUGACAUUUGGACCUUCAACCCGUUGAACCCCAGUGAAGUCCACUAUAUGGAGAAAAAUCCUGGAAUGUUUUCCUCAAAAACCUAUAUUUCUUUUCAAAUGAAGAAAGAAAGACAUCUCAUAUGACAUGGGGGUGAGUAAAUUAUUAGGAAAUUUUAAUUAUGAAGUGAACUAAUUCUUUAAUACAGUAAACAGGGUGAACUCUCAUGCCAUGUUAACAUUACCCACUUGAAUCCUUAAAGAUGAUAUUCCACCGCUCUACCCGACUCGUCUGUACACGUUUAAUGAGCUACUGUGAUGGAAUAACAUGAAUCAGUACUGAUCUCUGGGCUAAAACUGUGGAAAGUAAGCACUAUCAAACCCUCCCUGAAAGAUGCCUGGAAUCAAGAGCAAGUCAUCCAAAAGAUGCCCAACUCUAUUCUAGUGUUGAUUUUGUGGCCUAUUAUCACACUGUAAAGAGUUUAUUUCCAACUCCAAACUACAGCUUCAUUUCUGCAUGUACGCUCCAGCUGAAUUUCAUGGUCUGAAUAAAAUGGCAGACGUUUUGUUCAUCUGUU